UGCAUUGCGUUCCAUGACCUUGGA
rnacentral:siRNA from 1 species